rnacentral:misc_RNA from 1 species
GUUCAUCACUGGCGACUGCCCUUGCAAUUGCUGACUUCCAUUAGCCAUUUGCUUAGACAAAUUUCCACUUGCAUUCGCAUGACCAAAAUGUGCAUUAUUCAAAGCAAUGUUAGAAUUUUGAAUUCCCAUACCCUGAGGCACCUGGUUUGGAUACAUUGGAACACUCCCUGAAAGAGCCUGAGCAUAACUUGCCAUUUGCAUAGCCAUUUGCAUUUGCAGAAACUGAUUCAUAU